CCGAUGAGGUGGAAACGGACAGAGCUGGCGUAUCUGGCCUGCAUUCAGCCGCUGCGCGUCGGGCCCCGGUUUGCCGCACUCCAGAUUGGGAAGGUGGCUGGGCUGCUGGCGUGCUGGUGGUGCAUUUGCAGGUGGAGUGCGCCGAGGCGCUCGGUUCAGCGGCAUGAGCUCGGCUUUGAGGCCAGUCGCGCAAGCGGUCUGGUACCCGGGUCGGAGGAGUGUUGUUUGGGCUGGGUGUUCGCUGGGGCACAGGUUUCGGGCCCGGGUGGGUGCCGAGCUGGCAGUCAGCGGCAGUCGCGUGCGACACGUGCCAGCAGUCAGUUCGGUCCUGCUCGAGCUCUCUCGUGUCCGGCCUCGGUGUAAAAGCCGGUCAUCUGUCCGACCCGUCUUGAAACACGGACCAAGGAGUUUAGCGUGUGCGCGAGUCAUUGGGUGUUGAAAACCCAGAGGCGUAAUGAAAGUGAAGGUCUGCCUUGUGCAGCUGAUGUGUGAUCCUGGGCGCCGCGGCGUCCGGGCGCAACAUAGUCCCGUCCCGACUGCAUGCAGUGGGGCGGAGACAGAGCGUACGCGCUGAG
rnacentral:rRNA from 1 species